AGCAGGACCAGAACCUCCAGCCGGUAAUUAGGUUCAUCAGAGCAUGGAUUUUCCAUCAGCACCAGUGCUUGCAGCAUGGGGAGGACCUGCAGUUUUGCCACCUCCUGGAAGCUACUGAUUCCAUUGUUCCUGAAGAAGAGGAAGCACGGAGAGAAAAGAGACAUAUGAAGAAUGGCAGCGUGCAAGAGUGACCAGUGAGUUAACAUCAAGUUUCUUGUGAAACUGAAGAAAUCUGCAACAGCAACUUUUCAGUUAUUGACUGAGGCUUAUGGUGAAGUAAUGCCAAAGAUCAACUCAGUGCUCAAAGGAACCCAUUUUUUUGUUGGCAGAAGACAUGAAAGCAAAACCAAGAGAGAUCCUCAACAGCCUUUCAGAAAACUAUCUGCAGGUUUGAACAUUGGCAGCGUCCUAUGCAGCUGUGUCUCAGCUCAGAGGAGAACCGUUUUGAAGCAUACUGUUUAAGAUCCAACCGCUACGAUUUGCAGUAUUUCCACUACACAGAGCUGCGGUCUUGCCAGAAAGCAGACGAAAAGAAGAAAAAUAAGAUCUCUCAUUCCUGUCAAUGCAGAAAUUAUUGUCUGAGAGUUUAUUCCUCAUUAAACAAAUGCAUCCAUGCCUCUGUAUUCUCCUCAAAGCAGCAGAUCAAUGCUUGGCUCCCAUCUGUUUUUCCUAUGUAGGUCAUUCUCCUGGGCUCUUGCCUGGCUCUGUGGGCAGGAGCCGACAGCGGAGCUGCAGCCCGUGGCUGAUCCUUCAGUGUAAUCCUGCCUACCCACUGCCCACAGACUUAGGCUACGUCCUUGCUGCUCUGGCCAUGCUGACCCCCAGUCCCCUGUCCCAGGAGCCUCUCAGAAACAUUCUGGUUGUAGAAACCACACUUUUCAGGAAUAUGUUUUGUUGCCUUUGAGCAUCCCCUUCUCCACAUCGCUCAGCGGGAGCUGAGAGCUGUCGUUGCUGCGCCGCACUCUGGCUCUUCCUUCUCACAACGGAGAAUCAUCAAGGUUGGAAAAGACCUCUGAGAUCAUCAGAUUUAACCAUUA